CCAUAUUGUCCUUGGUAGUGGUUGAUUGAUAAGCUAGUUCUUCAGCCACACAACAUGGAGUUCCUUCAGGUUCUCUGACCACUGGAUCAUAUACUUUCUCCAGAAUUGGGACAUUGUUAGUGGGAUUAUCCUCUAGACUCUUUUUCAAGUGAACCUCUUUUGCAGUUUCAGUGUCAUAAGCAUUGAGUAUUUCAGGGUUCUGCUUCAGAAAAAAAAGAUAUAUCAGAUAGUCAUAGUCAGCUCCGAUUAAUAUGUAAUUUUGGAAGAUUCAUGGAAUUGUUAUUUUAUUAUGUUUAUGAUCAUAUUCUUGGUAUAUAAUAGAAAUAAUUAGGUUGAUCAGGAAAACCAUAUGCUGAGAUCUUCAUUCCAUUGAGUUCUAAAUCCUGGAGCCUUCUAUUUUACUUAUUGUAUUUUGAUUUUUUAUCUUCAAAUGCUGAUAUUAAGUCUGAGUAAAGCUUCUAAGAUCUCUUUUCAAGUUAUGAACCUCUAUUUGUCCUAGGUUCCAGUGGCUUAUUAGUUUGUAUAUCAGACAAACAGACUGGAGCUUCAUCAUUAUUGGCCAUAUUAUCAUGUUAGUAUCACUCUACAAUAUAAAUCAAUGCCUACAAUAUAACUCUAGGAUGUGGAAUCUCAAAACAGACAAAAAUUGUGGAGAAUAUUUUCGGUCCAAGUACAAUGCAAAGAAGGUAUCUGCCCAAAAUUGAUUAUCCAGUCCAGACCAUGGUCCCAUUGACCAAAAAACGUAAAAAUCAGAUAAAAGAUUUGCCAUACUGUGAGCUCAUUUCUCUCACAUUAAUCUGUAAACAAACCCUGGCUAGACUACUCACAAGAAGCCACAGAUAUUUCUGUCUGAACUCAAUGGAUAAGGAUUGAAAAACUAGAGUUAAUAGUUGCAUGAUAACGAUGAUUUUCUGCAAUUUAUUGAAUUGUUUUCUAACAAUUUAUUUUCUUUUAUUUACUGUGUGUAUUUCAUAAAUUGCUUGCUUCUAUAUAAUAUGCAUGAUAAGAAUUGUGUUUAAUGAUUUUUCUUCACCUUUUCGUCUUCAUUAUCUGGUAUGCUGCUUGGAUCUUCAAUGCUUAUUCUGGCUACUGCUUUCUCAGUUGUUAGAACUGCUUCACUCUCUUCUUGAGGUAGUUUUGAUUUAACUGAAUGUUCCUUUUCAGCAGCAACAGCAUCUUCUUCAAUAGAAGCAUAUAUUUCAUACUCGAUUGUUUUCUCUGUGAUCUCAAUGGAGGAAAUUUCAAUAUUUUCUUUGCAUUUGUCUAUCUCCACGGUGUCAUUUAGAGUUUGAUUUAUUGGAGCGCCAUCACAGGCAUUAACCUGUAUAUUGUCUUCAGAAGCUUCCUUCCCCUGUAUUAGUUCAUUAUCUUGAUUGUAUUUUUGGUUCUCCUCAUCCAGGUUCGUUCUUGCUUCUGCCUCAUCUGUUUUAUCUUCCAAAACAACCUCGUGAACUAUCACCUCAGAUGAUACCUCCACAUCAUGGCACUCAGUCUGAUUCAUUUGCAUAUGAUUGUCAUCAGCUUCAUCUUGGUCAUAUACUUCCUCGUUUUGAGUAUUGAAUAUUUGCAUGUCAGACUCUACACUAUGAAGGCCCAUUUCAUCCAGAACAUCUAAAGUUUCCUGGCCCUGAUCCUUAUUUUUCUCCAGUUCAAAUGUCACUUCAAGGUUUUCAUGAUUUUCUUCUUCAACUCCUGAGUCUUCCUGCCUUGGUAACUGUGCAUAAAAAGCAUCAAAGUUGCUAUCUUCACUUUCAUCCUCUGUCCAAAUCACAUUUUUCUUUUUGUCUUCUGUGUCUGUGAUUUCUUGAUCCUGAAAGGUUUUGUCUUCUGCAGUUGGUGUUGGAUGAGAUUCAUCUACAGACACUGCUCUAGGUCUGUUAUCUCUUGUAUUUACGGAUCCUGCAAUGUGGCAGUCUCCUCCCAAGUUCUCUUCUUCAUGUGAAACUUCAAUGGUGUCUUUCUCAUCCUCACCUUUAUCCAUGUUAGUGUUUUGAAUGCCAUCUUCUGAUGGUAGGCUAUCCUCUUUUUGUUGCAUACUGCAAAUUCCUUCAUCAUAUUUGCUAAUCAUCUGGUCCUGGAUAAUUGAAGCCUCCGUAUUUGUCAAUAUGUCAACAUUGCCUUGGCUGACUUGUGGUUGUUCCAUUUUAGCAAAAUCUUUGUUUUCUGUGAUUUCACUUGCAUCAAUUAUGUCAGCACUAAGAUUGGCAUCAUUUUUUGAGUUCUGAGACAUCAUCACUUCACUAGUCCCCUCCGGAGUCUUAGAUUGGUGUACUAAUUCUGAGAUUGAUUCAAGUUUCUGGCAUGCGUCUUCUAUGUUGUUGUCAGCUACUGUGCUCUCUUUUGUGUGACUUGCUUCUUCAAUCUGUUCUUUGCAUUCGAAGUCCAGGACUAUUUCUUGGUUAUUAUUUACAGCUUGUAUGUGUUGCCCAACCAAGUCGUCUGUGUCAGGUUCAUCACUAAUGCUAUUGUUCUUGUCUUUGUCAGUGUCUCUUGUGGGUUCCUUGUCGUUGUUUAUAUGGAUGACAUCAGAUACCUGCUUAAAAGAAAAUAACUUUAGUAAAAUGUCCAGUUGGAAUCAUAUUUUAAUAUACUCAUUAAUGGCCAAUUUUUGUGUUAACAGAGAAAGGUGAAGUUCAUAAUAUUUGACUUAUUCAAUAAAGAUUCGGUGCUAUCUAACACUUGAUAGCACUGGAAUAAGCUGGAUUUUAUGCUUAUUCAAGCAGUUAGAACAGUAGUUCAGACUUAGAGUUUUUAGAUUAUAAGAGUUGCUAAAUAGUAUGUCCUGAACUGUAAGGAAUAAAGCCUAUCAAGUAAAGCAUUUUGAGCUAAAUUUAUGUAUAACAAGGUAGUACUAAGCCAAAGACUCUUUUUCAGGUGAACCUCUUUUGCAGUUUCAGUGUUAUAAGCAUCGAGCAUUUCAGGGUUCUGCUUCCAAAAAAAAAGAUAUAUCAGAUAAUCAUAGUAAGCUCUGAUUAAUAUGUAAUUUUGGAAGAUUCAUGGACUUGUUAUUUAUUAUGUUUAUGAUCAUUUUCUUGGGUAUAUAAUAGAAAUAAUUAGGUUGAUCAGGAAAACCAUAUGCUGAGAUCAUCAUUCCAUUGAGUUCUUAAAUCCUGGAGCCUUCUAUUUUACUGAUUGUAUUGUGAUUUUUUAUCUUCAAAUGCUGAUAUUAAGUCUGAGUAAAGCUUCUAAGAUCUCUUUUCAAGUUAUGAACCUCUAUUUGUCCUAGGUACCAAUGGCUUAUUAGUUUGUAUAUCAGACAAACAGAUAGGAUCUUCAUCAUUAUUGGCCAUAUUAUCAUGUUUGCAUCACUCUACAAUAUAAAUCAAUGCCUACAAUAUAACUCUAGGACGUGGAAUCUCAAAACAGACAAAUUCUAGAGAACAUUUUCAAUCCAAGUACAAUGCAAAAAAGGUAUCUGCCCAAAAUUGAUUAUCCGGUCCAGACGAUGGUCCCAUUGACCAAAAAAAGUAAAAAUCAGAUAAAAGAUUUGCCAUACUGUAAGCCCAUUUCUCUCACAUUAAUCUGUAAACAAGCCCUGGCUAGACUACUCACAAGAAGCCACAAAUAUUUCUGUCUGAACUACAUGGAUAAGGAUUGAAAAACUAGAGUUAAUAGUUGCAUGAUAAUGAGGAUUUUCUGCAAUUUAUUGAAUUUUUUUUAACAAUUUCUUUUCUUUUAUUUACUGUGUGUAUUUCAUAAAUUGCUUGCUUCUAUAUAAUAUGCAUGAUAAGAAUUGUGUUUAAUGAUUUUUCUUCACCUUUUCGUCUUCAUUAUCUGGUAUGCUGCUUGGAUCUUCAAUGCUUAUUCUGGCUACUGCUUUCUCAGUUGUUAGAACUGCUUCACUCUCUUCUUGAGGUAGUUUUGAUUUAACUGAAUGUUCCUUUUCAGCAGCAGCAGCAUCUUCUUCAAUAGAAGCAUAUAUUUCAUACUCGAUUGUUUUCUCUGUGAUCUCGAUGGAGGAAAUUUCAAUAUUUUCUUUGCAUUUGUCUAUCUCCAGGGUGUCA
rnacentral:lncRNA from 1 species